AGAGCUGACUAGACAAUCGCUAUAGCCAAAGAGUUUUGGUUUAUAGAGGAAAGUCCGGGCUCCGUAGGGUAGAGUGCCAGGUAACACCUGGGAAGCGUGAGCUUAUGGAAAGUGCCACAGAGAGCAGACCGCCGAUGAUUCUUCUGAAUACAGGCAAGGGUGAAAAGGUGCGGUAAGAGCGCACCGCUUUACUGGUAACAGUAAUGGCUAGGUAAACCCCACUUGGAGCAAGACCAAAUAGGUCUCCAGAUCAUGUGACCCGCAUGAGGAGACGGGUAGGUUGCUUGAGGCGAUUGGUGACAAUCGUCCUAGAUGAAUGAUUGUCCUCGACAGAACCCGGCUUAUAGGUCAGCUCUUUUA
rnacentral:RNase_P_RNA from 1 species